rnacentral:misc_RNA from 1 species
UUGUGGAGGAGGACGCCGAAGGUGGGGCUAAUGACUGGGGUGAAGUCGUAACAAGGUAGCCGUACCGGAAGGUGCGGCUGGAUCACCUCCUAACAGGGAGACAACAAAAUGUUUAAUAUUAUUAUUUUGUCACCUUAGGUCGAUCGAUAUCUCACGUUUUUAAUUUAUUAAAAAUUUCAAUUCCUAAGUUUUUUCUAGGUCACACCCAUUAUUUUCCUGGGCCAUUAGCUCAGGUGGUUAGAGCGCACCCCUGAUAAGGGUGAGGUCCCUGGUUCAAGUCCAGGAUGGCCCAUAUCUCUAUGUUGGGGGUAUAGCUCAGUUGGUAGAGCGCCUGCUUUGCAAGCAGGAUGUCAGCGGUUCGAGUCCGCUUACCUCCACUGAUUACCACCUCUUCCAUAAUUUAUGAGAAGGAAAAGUUUUGGGUAGUGAUCAAAUUCUGAACGAAGCUAGCUUCCUAAUGAAAUCAGGAAUCAUUAAGAUGCUGGACUCAUUGAAUUAAUUUCAUUGUUUUCAGAGAACCUUGACAACUGCAUAGAUUAUUUUUAAAGACAAUAAGCAUCUUUAAUGAUGCAGAUUUAUUAUUUGUGCUAAUGCAUUAAUAACAAUUCUAUUAAGCUGAUGCUUCAAUUUUUGAAGUUAUUGGUCAAGCUACAA